UACGAAGGUCCAAGCGUUAUCCGGAUUUAUUGGGUUUAAAGGGUGCGUAGGCGGGCUAUUAAGUCAGUGGUGAAAGCCCCAGCUUAACUUGGGAACUGCCUUGAUACUGAUGGUCUUGAGUUACAUUUGAGGUGGGGCGGAAUGUGGCCAUGUAGCGGUGAAAUGCUUAGAUAUGACACAGAACACCAUUGCGAAGGCAGCUCACUAAACUGUA
rnacentral:rRNA from 1 species